rnacentral:rRNA from 1 species
AGGUAGAUAGGGCAGAGGUGGAAGUGCAGCAAUGUAUGGAGCUGACUGUUACUAAUCGGUCGAGGGCUUGACCAAAA